rnacentral:rRNA from 1 species
UACGUAGGUGGCAAGCGUUGUCCGGAAUUAUUGGGCGUAAAGGGCGCGCAGGCGGCGUCGUAAGUCGGUCUUAAAAGUGCGGGGCUUAACCCCGUGAGGGGACCGAAACUGCGAUGCUAGAGUAUCGGAGAGGAAAGCGGAAUUCCUAGUGUAGCGGUGAAAUGCGUAGAUAUUAGGAGGAACAUCAGUGGCGAAAGCGGCUUUCUGGACGACAACUGACGCUGAGGCGCGAAAGCCAGGGGAGCAAACGGG